CUGAGAUGGUCAGUCCACUCUGGUGCCAAGACCAGCUUUUUAACAGGAAGCUGAUGGCAAAAGAUUAUGUAUUGCAUUGAACUGCUGCUGGUAGAAGAUACAACAGCCUGAAUGUACCUAUCACCAGUCUCAAGGAGAACUUCUACCCUGCUGUCUUAAGAAUAUUAAAUUGUUCCUUAGUACGGAAUUCAAACGGCAGGAUUUUGGCAGGCUUCUUGACCAUCAUAGUGAACUUCAAUAUAAUUUCAUCCAAUACCUACCUAUAGGCACUUGCCAAUAGUAUGUUGACAGCAGUCAGAUAUGGGAUCUUUGGCUGACAUUCCUU